rnacentral:pre_miRNA from 2 species
UCUACUCAUAGUAUUAGGUUGGUGCAAAUGUAAUCACGGUCUUUGCCAUGACCGUGAUUACAUUUGCACCAACCUAAUACUAUGAGUA